rnacentral:rRNA from 1 species
UGGGGAAUUUUGGACAAUGGGCGAAAGCCUGAUCCAGCAAUGCCGCGUGUGUGAAGAAGGCCUUCGGGUUGUAAAGCACUUUUGUCCGGAAAGAAAUCCUUGGCUCUAAUACAGUCGGGGGAUGACGGUACCGGAAGAAUAAGCACCGGCUAACUACGUGCCAGCAGCCGCGGUAAUACGUAGGGUGCAAGCGUUAAUCGGAAUUACUGGGCGUAAAGCGUGCGCAGGCGGUUUGCUAAGACCGAUGUGAAAUCCCCGGGCUCAACCUGGGAACUGCAUUGGUGACUGGCAGGCUAGAGUAUGGCAGAGGGGGGUAGAAUUCCACGUGUAGCAGUGAAAUGCGUAGAGAUGUGGAGGAAUACCGAUGGCGAAGGCAGCCCCCUGGGCCAAUACUGACGCUCAUGCACGAAAGCGUGGGGAGCAAACAGGAUUAGAUACCCUGGUAGUCCACGCCCUAAAACGAUGUCAACGUAGUUGUUGGGGAUUCAUUUCCUUAGUAACGUAGCUAACGCGUGAAGUUGACCGCCUGGGGAGUACGGUCGCAAGAUUAAAAACUUCAAAGGAAUUGACGGGGUCAUAGCUGUUUCCU